UGUAGUCAUAUGCUUGUCUCAAAGAUUAAGCCAUGCAUGUCUAAGUAUAAGCAAUUAUACAGCGAAACUGCGAAUGGCUCAUUAAAUCAGUUAUCGUUUAUUUGAUAGUACCUUACUACAUGGAUAACCGUGGUAAUUCUAGAGCUAAUACAUGCUAAAAACCCCGACUUCGGAAGGGGUGUAUUUAUUAGAUUAAAAACCAAUGCCCUUCGGGGCUCCCUGGUGAUUCAUAAUAACUUCUCGAAUCGCACGGCCUUGCGCCGGCGAUGGUUCAUUCAAAUUUCUGCCCUAUCAACUUUCGACGGCAGGGUCUUGGCCUGCCAUGGUGACAACGGGUAACGGAGGGUUAGGGCUCGACCCCGGAGAAGGAGCCUGAGAAACGGCUACUACAUCCAAGGAAGGCAGCAGGCGCGCAAAUUACCCAAUCCCGACUCGGGGAGGUAGUGACAAUAAAUACUGAUACAGGGCUCUUUUGGGUCUUGUAAUUGGAAUGAGUACAAUUUAAAUCCCUUAACGAGGAUCAAUUGGAGGGCAAGUCUGGUAAUCG
rnacentral:rRNA from 1 species